UACGUAGGUGACAAGCGUUGUCCGGAAUUACUGGGCGUAAAGGGCGCGUAGGCGCCUUCUAAGUCGAACGUGAAAUCCCCGGGCUCAACCCGGGAACUGCGUCCGAGACUGGAAGGCUCGAAUCCGGGAGAGGGAUGUGGAAUUCCUGGUGUAGCGGUGGAAUGCGCAGAUAUCAGGAGGAACACCGAUGGCGAAGGCAGAUCUCUGGGCCGUAACUGACGCUGAGGAGCGAAAGCGUGGGGAGCGAACAGG
rnacentral:rRNA from 1 species